rnacentral:rRNA from 1 species
AGCGAGCGGCGGAUGGGUGAGUAACACGUGGGGAACCUGCCCCUAAGUCUGGGAUACCAUUUGGAAAUAGGUGCUAAUACCGGAUAAUAAAGCAGAUCGCAUGAUCAGCUUUUGAAAGGCGGCGUAAGCUGUCGCUAAGGGAUGGCCCCGCGGUGCAUUAGCUAGUUGGUAAGGUAACGGCUUACCAAGGCGACGAUGCAUAGCCGAGUUGAGAGACUGAUCGGCCACAUUGGGACUGAGACACGGCCCAAACUCCUACGGGAGGCAGCAGUAGGGAAUCUUCCACAAUGGACGCAAGUCUGAUGGAGCAACGCCGCGUGAGUGAAGAAGGUUUUCGGAUCGUAAAGCUCUGUUGUUGGUGAAGAAGGAUAGAGGUAGUAACUGGCCUUUAUUUGACGGUAAUCAACCAGAAAGUCACGGCUAACUACGUGCCAGCAGCCGCGGUAAUACGUAGGUGGCAAGCGUUGUCCGGAUUUAUUGGGCGUAAAGCGAGCGCAGGCGGAAAAAUAAGUCUAAUGUGAAAGCCUUCGGCUUAACCGAGGAACUGCAUCGGAAACUGUUUUUCUUGAGUGCAGAAGAGGAGAGUGGAACUCCAUGUGUAGCGGUGGAAUGCGUAGAUAUAUGGAAGAACACCAGUGGCGAAGGCGGCUCUCUGGUCUGCAACUGACGCUGAGGCUCGAAAGCAUGGGU